rnacentral:rRNA from 1 species
AACGAACGCUGGCGGCAGGCCUAACACAUGCAAGUCGAACGCUCCGCAAGGGGAGUGGCGCACGGGUGAGUAACACGUGGGAACCUACCUUCUGGUACGGAACAACCAAGGGAAACUUUGGCUAAGACCGUAUACGACCUCCGGGUGAAAGAUUGAUCGCCGGAAGAGGGGCCCGCGUCCGAUUAGGUAGUUGGUGAGGUAACGGCUCCA